UACGGGGGGGGCAAGCGUUGUUCGGAAUUACUGGGCGUAAAGGGCUCGUAGGCGGCCAACUAAGUCAGACGUGAAAUCCCCAGGCUCAACCUGGGAACUGCGUCUGAUACUGGAUGGCUUGAAUCCGGGAGAGGGAUGCAGAAUUCCAGGUGUAGCGGUGAAAUGCGUAGAUAUCGUAAGGAAGACCAGUGGCGAAGGCGAAUCUCUGGACAGUUACUGACACUGAGGCACGAAGGCCAGGGGAGCAAACGGG
rnacentral:rRNA from 1 species